rnacentral:rRNA from 1 species
AGUGAACGCUGGCGGUAGGCCUAACACAUGCAAGUCGAACGGCAGCACAGUAAGAGCUUGCUCUUACGGGUGGCGAGUGGCGGACGGGUGAGGAAUACAUCGGAAUCUACUUUUUCGUGGGGGAUAACGUAGGGAAACUUACGCUAAUACCGCAUACGACCUACGGGUGAAAGCAGGGGAUCUUCGGACCUUGCGCGAUUGAAUGAGCCGAUGUCGGAUUAGCUAGUUGGCGGGGUAAAGGCCCACCAAGGCGACGAUCCGUAGCCGGUCUGAGAGGAUGAUCAGUCACGCUGGAACUGAGACACGGUCCAGACUCCUACGGGAGGCAGCAGUGGGGAAUAUUGGACAAUGGGCGCAAGCCUGAUCCAGCCAUACCGCGUGGGUGAAGAAGGCCUUCGGGUUGUAAAGCCCUUUUGUUGGGAAAGAAAAGCAGCAGGUUAAUACCCCGCUGUUCUGACGGUACCCAAAGAAUAAGCACCGGCUAACUUCGUG